GCCCCUGUGGUGGAACUGGUAGACGCGGUAGACUCAAAAUCUACUAUCCGCGAGGAUGUGGGAGUUCGACUCUCCCCGGGGGCACCA
rnacentral:tRNA from 3 species